AGUGAACGCUGGCGGUAGGCCUAACACAUGCAAGUCGAACGGCAGCACAGUAAGAGCUUGCUCUUACGGGUGGCGAGUGGCGGACGGGUGAGGAAUACAUCGGAAUCUACUUUUUCGUGGGGGAUAACGGAGGGAAACUUACGCUAAUACCGCAUACGACCUACGGGUGAAAGCAGGGGAUCUUGGGACCCUGCGCGACUGAAUGAGCCGAUGCCGGACUAGCGAGUUGGCGGGGUAACGGACCACCAUGGCAACGAUCCGUAGCCGGGCUGAGAGGAUGGUCGCCCACCCGGGAACGGAGACACGGUGCAGGCUCCUACGGGAGGCAGCAGUAGGGAAGCUCCCGCAGAGGGCGAAAGCCUGACGGGGCACCGCCGCGUGAGGGAUGAAGGUCUUCGGAUCGUAAAACUCUGUUAUUAGGGAAGAACAUAUGUGUAAGAAACUGUGCACAUCUUGACGGUACCUAAUCAGAAAGCCACGGCUAACUACGUG
rnacentral:rRNA from 1 species